ACCUCAAAUCAGGUAGGACUACCCGCUGGACUUAAGCAUAUCAAUAAGCCGGAGGAAAAGAAAGCAACCAGGGAUUGCCUCAGUAACGGCGAGUGAAGCGGCAAAAGCUCAAAUUUGAAAUCUGAGGCUCUCAGCCCCCGAGUUGUAAUUUGAAGAUGGUGUUCUGGCGCCGGCCCCCUGUCUACGUUCCUUGGAACAGGACAUCACAGAGGGUGAGAAUCCCGUCUGGCGGGGCGGCCUGGCUCCGUGUAGAGCGCCAUCGACGAGUCGAGUUGUUUGGGAAUGCAGCUCUAAGUGGGUGGUAAAUUCCAUCUAAAGCUAAAUAUUGGCGAGAGACCGAUAGCGAACAAGUACAGUGAUGGAAAGAUGAAAAGAACUUUGAAAAGAGAGUGAAAAAGUACGUGAAAUUGUUGAAAGGGAAGGGUAUUGGAUCAGACUUGGUGCUGUGCGAAUAGCGGCUCUUCUUGGGCCGCCCACUCGCACUCCACCGGGCCAGCAUCGGUUUGGGCGGCAAGACAAUGGCGGGGGAACGUGGCACUGCUCUCGGGCAGUGUGUUUAUAGCCCCCGCUGAUGUUGCCUGCCUAGACCGAGGACUGCGGCUUCUGCCUAGGAUGCUGGCGUAAUAUCCAAC
rnacentral:rRNA from 1 species